rnacentral:rRNA from 1 species
GCCAAUGGCGGCAUCUUACCAUGCAGUCGACGAUGAUGCCCAGCUUGCUGGGUGGAUUAGUGGCGAACGGGUGAGUAACACGUGAGUAACCUGCCCCUGACUCUGGGAUAAGCGUUGGAAACGACGUCUAAUACUGGAUAUGACUGCCGGCCGCAUGGUCUGGUGGUGGAAAGAUUUUUUGGUUGGGGAUGGACUCGCGGCCUAUCAGCUUGUUGGUGAGGUAAUGGCUCACCAAGGCGACGACGGGUAGCCGGCCUGAGAGGGUGACCGGCCACACUGGGACUGAGACACGGCCCAGACUCCUACGGGAGGCAGCAGUGGGGAAUAUUGCACAAUGGGCGAAAGCCUGAUGCAGCAACGCCGCGUGAGGGAUGACGGCCUUCGGGUUGUAAACCUCUUUUAGUAGGGAAGAAGCGAAAGUGACGGUACCUGCAGAAAAAGCACCGGCUAACUACGUGCCAGCAGCCGCGGUAAUACGUAGGGUGCAAGCGUUGUCCGGAAUUAUUGGGCGUAAAGAGCUCGUAGGCGGUUUGUCGCGUCUGCUGUGAAAUCCCGAGGCUCAACCCUCGGGCUUGCAGUGGGUACGGGCAGACUAGAGUGCGGUAGGGGAGAUUGGAAUUCCUGGUGUAGCGGUGGAAUGCGCAGAUAUCAGGAGGAACACCGAUGGCGAAGGCAGAUCUCUGGGCCGUAACUGACGCUGAGGAGCGAAAGCGUGGGGAGCGAACAGGAUUAGAUACCCUGGUAGUCCACGCCGUAAACGUUGGGCGCUAGAUGUAGGGACCUUUCCACGGUUUCUGUGUCGUAGCUAACGCAUUAAGCGCCCCGCCUGGGGAGUACGGCCGCAAGGCUAAAACUCAAAGGAAUUGACGGGGGCCCGCACAAGCGGCGGAGCAUGCGGAUUAAUUCGAUGCAACGCGAAGAACCUUACCAAAGGCUUGACAUACACCGGGAAACGGCCAGAGAUGGGUCGCCCCCCUUGGUGGUCGGUGUACAGGUGGUGCAUGGUUGUCGGUCAGCUCGUGUCGUGAGAUGUUGGGUUAAGUCCCGCAACGAGCGCAACCCUCGUUCUAUGUUGCCAGCGCGUUAUGGCCGGGGACUCAUAGGAGACUGCCGGGGUCAACUCGGAGGAAGGUGGGGAUGACGUCAAAUCAUCAUGGCCCCGUUAUGUCCUUGGGCCUUCACGCAUGCUACAAUGGCCGGUACAAAGGGCUGCGAUACCGUAAGGUGGAGCGAAUCCCAAAAAGCCGGUCUCAGUUCGGAUUGAGGUCUGCAACUCGACCUCAUGAAGUCGGAGUCGCUAGUAAUCGCAGAUCAGCAACGCUGCGGUGAAUACGUUCCCGGGCCUUGUACACACCGCCCGUCAAGUCAUGAAAGUCGGUAACACCCGAAGCCGGUGGCCUAACCCUUGUGGAAGGAGCCGUCGAAGUUGAUUCCGUAAGUU